CAUCACACCCUUAUCACAUAUUUACCAGCAGUACGCCCUGCAUUACCGACGGUUUUCAAUUCGAUUAUGUUGACGCGCCCGAUAACAACAGCCUCUUGUUUGAAGUACGGUGCUGUUGAGCCCUUCGUUGUUUAUAGAGUAAAUGAAUCAUAUUUUACAUUUUGAUUGAUAAAACCAUCAUGGUUCUUGUAUAAUGGAUUGGGUCUCCAUUAACUAGCUAUGUUAGUCUUGAACACUGCGAUCAAAAAGAUUAUUUAAGGUAACUCUACAUACUGUUCCGGUACGUUAAAAGUGCUCAAGAAUCAAGGCUACCAAUGCUUCUCUGUUUGUUACCGAUGAGCUUCUAUCAACCACAUAAGCAAUAUACAAGGGCAUUAGUAUAUCAAUACACUCAAAUUGGAGACGCUGUUCUUUCCUUUGCAAAUGAGUAGGAUGUAUUUCAACAUAGGUUUAGUUUUAUUAAUUGUGACAUCUCAAUCUAGCCACAAACCGAAACAGAAAAAUGUCCAUAGCGAAACGGUUAAACGUAUUGAUCUGUGGAAACAUGUUCGACGAAAGUAUUGCAGGGAAUGUGAAUAUUAAAUGUGACGAUAUUAAAUAUAAACAAUAGUAAACAAAAAA